UGGCACUGAAAAAAAAAUUGUCCUCAAUACAUUACCUCCUUGGAUCCGAACAGGCCGAGAAAGAAGCAACUGGAUAAGAUAAUUAUAUAAUAACACCUUAUAAUUUCUUAAUUUGUGGUUCUACUACCUGGGUAUUAGAUACCAGAAGUCCUUUUAAUAUUUGUAAUUCGCUGUAGGGUCUACAGGUCAAUAGGAGAUUUGAAGAAGGUCGAAAGGUUCCUUAAU
rnacentral:lncRNA from 1 species